GGCUCAGCUGGGAGAGCGCAUCGCUGGCAGCGAUGAGGUCAGGGGUUCGAUCCCCCUAGGCUCCA
rnacentral:tRNA from 1 species